AGUGAAUGCUGGCGGUAGGCCUAACACAUGCAAGUCGAACGGCAGCACAGUAAGAGCUUGCUCUUACGGGUGGCGAGUGGCGGACGGGUGAGGAAUACAUCGGAAUCUACUUUUUCGUGGGGGAUAACGUAGGGAAACUUACGCUAAUACCGCAUACGACCUACGGGUGAAAGCAGGGGAUCUUCGGACCUUGCGCGGUUGAAUGAGCCGAUGUCGGAUUAGCUAGUUGGCGGGGUAAAGGCCCACCAAGGCGACGAUCCGUAGCUGGUCUGAGAGGAUGAUCAGCCACACGGGAACUGAGACACGGUCCAGACUCCUACGGGAGGCAGCAGUGGGGAAUAUUGGACAAAGGGCGCAAGCCUGAUCCAGCCAUACCGCGUGGGUGAAGAAGGCCUUCGGGUUGUAAAGCCCUUUUGUUGGGAAAGAAAAGCAGCAGGUUAAUACCCCGCUGUUCUGACGGUACCCAAAGAAUAAGCACCGGCUAACUUCGUG
rnacentral:rRNA from 1 species